AUGAACGCUGGCGGCGUGCCUAAUACAUGCAAGUCGAGCGAACAGAUGAGGAGCUUGCUCCUCUGACGUUAGCGGCGGACGGGUGAGUAACACGUGGAUAACCUACCUAUAAGACUGGGAUAACUUCGGGAAACCGGAGCUAAUACCGGAUAAUAUAUUGAACCGCAUGGUUCAAUAGUGAAAGACGGUUUUGCUGUCACUUAUAGAUGGAUCCGCGGCGCAUUAGCUAGUUGGUAAGGUAACGGCUUACCAAGGCAACGAUGCGUAGCCGACCUGAGAGGCGGAUCCGCCACCGGGGAAGGAGGAGGCGCACCAACACCCAAGGGGAGGCAAGAGAAAGAAAUCUGCCGGAAGGGGGAGAGGGGAAAAGGGGAAACGGGGCGGAGGUGAGAAAGGGCUACGGGGCGUAAAAGCUGGUUAUGUGGGAGAAACAAAGGUGUAUGAAACUGGCCGCGAUUGACAGUACCCGAAGAAGAAGCCCCGGCUAAAUCCGUG
rnacentral:rRNA from 1 species